rnacentral:lncRNA from 1 species
GCGCUCCCUUUGGCCCAGGCCCUGGUGUGACAGCGUCCCUUCCCGCAGACAGAGGAGCCUCCUGUGACCGCGUGAGCUGCUCGGCGCUGGGACCUCGAGGCCUUUCCAUGGGGUGAGGCCCUGGACGGCAGARCUGCUCAUCUUUCCAGCUCUGAUGCAAUAAACCUCGCGGGGGAACCCAAGAGACUGGAGGAUCUAACUAUUCCUUAGGCGAGUCCCCGCUCCCCCACCGAGCUGCGGGCCUGGUGAUUUCCCCGGAUUGCUCACGAGCCGAUGGCAGUUGAGGCACGGUUACGGACAGCUYGCUGGUCGGGAUGCGUAAAAACUCCCUGGAUGAGCCCGUCUCCUUCUGCCUGGCUCCUCACCGCAGAGGCAACCCUGUCGCCAUGUGUAGCGAGACAUACAGAGACAGAGCGGUCCGUYGUUUCUGAGACGCUUCGCAGCAGGACGCGAGGUAAGGCCGGCUCUGGAAAUACUGAUACGGCCACUCAACUAGCCCUGUUUGCGCUGGGCCAUCAGAGCAAUCAACAGCCAACAGAUAAUUUAUCAAUUAAAAUCAYUGGCGCUGGACGCGGUUGCCCUCAGCUGGAGGGGCCCCCUCCCAGCUGCCGCGGCAAAGAGGGAUAAAACUUUGCCCCCGUCCUUCCUCCCGUCUGCAGGGAGCUGCCUGCGGAGAAGCCGGCGUUUCCCGAUGUUAACCGUUCAGAUACCAGCGCUGAUACCGCUGAUUGUCUCGGCGAUUACGCGGUGGGCGGAAGCACCCAGGGCGCUCGGAGAAAUGGAUCCCAAACCCUAGAAAUUAAAGCCCCGAGGGGGGAGGCUGAUGGUUUCAG